rnacentral:lncRNA from 1 species
CGUUACGCCGGUCACCCUAUUUGACCUGUAACCUUAUGUUUCAAUAAAUAGUUAGUUAUAGGUGUAAAACCUCGCGUUGAAGAGACCUGGCUUCAGUGGCUUACACCCUAGUAGAGAAGACAGAAAUACAAUGCGUUUUGUGUAGUUAAGCUUCUCAAAUCAAAUCAAAUAAUUUAUUUCUGCAGAAAAAAACAAUAUUUACGAAUUAAUUUUUAAAAAUCACAAUAUGUAAAAUAUUAUUUUCCGCAGCAGGCGGACACAAUAGCCUGGGGCUGUUUUAGCUGAGCCCCCCUGUUAACCGAAUUCUUUAAUUAAAUUUUAACAUUUAAAAAGCUUGACUCUGGAAAACUGGCAUUUUGUGACAUACAGAUAGAAAGUAGGAGAUUUGGAGUCUACAGAUAGAAAGUAGAAGAACUGGAGUUUACAGAUAGAACGUGGGAGAACUGGCGUUUGCAGAUAGAAAGUAGGAGAACUAGAGUUUUCAGACAGAAAGUAGGGCAGAACUAAAUUUUACAGAUAGAAAGUAGAAGAGAACUAAAAUUUACAGAUAGAAAGUAGGAGAACUAGAGUUUUCAGACAGAAAGUAGGGCAGAAUUAGAUUUUACAGAUAGAAAGUACUAGAGUUUGUAAACCUAUAUUUUUUAACAAAUAAAAGAUAGGAAUUUACUGCUUUGUGUUCAAUUUUAGUAGGGGGGUGGGGGCGGCAAGAUUUUUUGUUGCGCGCUUAAUUUUGCCCCCCACCAUGAGAUAAUGUUUACGUCCGCCCCUGCUUUCUACUUGAUCCUCUGUUUCUUCUUUCUGUUCUAUAGUUUAUUAUUUUACUCGUUGUUUUAUUUGAACCUAUUCUUGUCCUUCUUGACAUUGUUCAUUUCCUUGUUUUUCUGCAUUUUCUUUCAUUUGAUCUUCUUUUGUCUUUCUUCUUGAUCUUCUGUUUCUAUUUUCCAGCAAUAUUCUGCUAAAUAUAUGCUUUUUCUUUUUGACCCAGUACUCUGUUUGUUAUUUUCCUUGUUUUUCUACAUGUUAUUCCACUGUUUGUCCUUCAGAUUGUUCUUCUGUUUCACUUUUGCCAUGCUAUUCUGCAUAAUCUUCUCCUUGUUAUACAGGAUGUGUAAAUUCUACUGUAUAGGUUGAAGACGAUUCGGUAAACCCUUCGGAUGAUCCUGUAGAUGAUUCAAGACCUGAAGAUUGAAGAUAUAGAAGCAAGAUUCAAUCUGAUUAUAUUUGAUCUUGUUUAAUUGUCAAAGUAAAUAUUUACUCAAAAAAUCUUCAAAACUAUUUAAAUGAAAAUUCAUUCUUAAAACUGAAAUGUAAAACUUUUGAGUUUACUGUCUGAAAUCAUAAACAUUUUAUAUUCAGAACCAUGAAUUUUAUAUGGAUUUUAUCUAAAAGAUACCUAGCCAAUAUUUAAUCAAUAUUUAUCCUAUAUUUAAAAAACUUUCAUUAAAGAAAAUAUUAAUUUCUGAAAUCUUUUUCAGAAAGAAUGAGAAAGUUUAAAGCGCGUAGUUGGACUACAAGUAUGUGAUUAGGAUGUAUAAACCUAUCACAAUCUUUGUACCUGGAAUAUAUAUAGAUCUAAGUAGAGGCUGCGUUUCUGCCGAAACUUGGGCAACCUUUUUACACAAGCGCUGCAGUGGUCUAAAACUCCCUUUUGGACUGAGCAGCGUGUAAAGGUUGAACGGUCGAAGUUUCUCUCGACAAAGAUUAAAUAGAAAACUGAAACCAGUGCUGGAAACCUACCCUUUAGUACAGUGUAAACUGCUGUGCUCAACCUGGACUUUGUCAAGCCUUCAAGUCCCGAAAGAACUCUUGGUGUGGAGUUUGAGAAUCUCUGUAGGUCGAUGUAAACUAAAAUGGUCCUACAGACAUUAUUGAUCGAUUGAUGAGUAUGCAAGCAUUGAACUGUGAAACGUAAACUGUGAACUACUGUGCUCUCAUGUAAAUGGAUACCCACCGUAAUUUUUCACCUGUUUUUGGAUUACUGUCUACAAAUAAAUUCUAAACUGACA